CACGUAGGGGCAAGCGUUGUCCGGAUUUAUUGGGCGUAAAGAGCUCGUAGGCGGCUUAGUAAGUCGGGUGUGAAACCUCCAGGCUCAACCUGGAGACGCCACCCGAUACUGCUGUGGCUAGAGUCCGGUAGGGGAGCGUGGAAUUCCUGGUGUAGCGGUGAAAUGCGCAGAUAUCAGGAGGAACACCAGCGGCGAAGGCGGCGCUCUGGGCCGGUACUGACGCUGAGGAGCGAAAGCGUGGGGAGCAAACAGG
rnacentral:rRNA from 1 species